CCAAAGGCUCUUUUCAGAGCCACCCACCUUUUCAAAGAGAGAUGU
rfam:Cricetulus griseus cell line CHO-K1, whole genome shotgun sequence.